rnacentral:lncRNA from 1 species
GAUAAUAAAGACUUCACUUUCAGUGAAAAUUAAAAGUGACAAGAAACAUUAAUUAUCUUUACAUUUACAUUUAGUCAUUUGCAUCUUUUAAAAUAAUAGAAAGCACAUAUGAACAUUCAAUUAUAUAUUCUGUAUGAACAAUGUACAAAUUGUAAGAAAAUAUAUAAUAAAUAAGCUGUAUAUCAGUAGCUGCAUGAUCACUGGUCAGGUGCAAACAGGUUGAGACAUGCAGUGUGCGUGCCAAAGAACAAAAAACUUCACUAUGCAGUGUUUACUUUAAAAACACUACUUAAGUGAAUCUGUAUUUUCUAUUCAAACAAAUCAACUCAGUUUCAGCAUGAGAUGUUAUUUGUGUAAGGGUAUUUAAAAAGCCCAUGCCCACAGUUACGCUUUUCCAUAAUAGUGUCUAUGGUGCAAAAUGAGCAAUUAUUUAAUCCUCAGUCAUAUAUAUGAUAUGGCUGAGGAUUAAAUGACUUUGCUUUAGAAAUGUUAGUGGCCAUUCACACAGAAUGUGCUUUUACUUUGAAAAAGACAUGUAAGUUUAGCUUAUUUUAACUUGAGCUCCAUAUGUUUUAUGUCCGUCUAGUGUGAGUUUCCACAGAAAAAUAACUGCUAAGUAGCAGUGGAAUGGAAAAAAAUGUGUUCUGUGUGAACGGCCCCUUACACUCACACUAAACAACAGCAAACCCACGUGCCUCCAGCAGUGACAUCAGAUCUGUGAGCACAAUCAAUCAUCUCCUUUGAUAAGAUGCCAAACACAAACCGAUUUGGAGAGGAAAUGACCUUUUACAUUUGAAAACACAAAUUAACAUCCAUCCCAUUACACCAGUCACUGCUGACCACAAAGUCAACAAUGAAAGGCAUUGAGUGUGGAAAUAAUGGCACAUCUGUGUGUGGGGCAAGAUGUGCCAUCUAGCUGCUGGCAGGUAAACAGAGACGAGCCUGUCCGCCACAGCAUCUGAUGCCAGCAAACAUAUAAAUAGACCCGCCGGCAAAUGUGUGAUUCAAUGCUCACACUGACAUUUAGCACUUUGAUUCAAUUUGUUCGGCAUCCACCUCUUUUACCCAAGAUGAGAAUUAGUGUACCCAUAAUCCUCUGUGUUGCAGUGGCAGGUUUCCACAGUGUGAUUUCAGCAUCUCUGCAAUGUGAUGAAAGGACUAAACUGCCAGAACAGAGAGCGUUUGAAGAGUACAGCACGGCUCCACACACAGAUGAGUCAGAGUAUGAGGCUGCUCAUGUCAAAGACGGAGAGACAAAGGCAGUGACAGACACUACAGAUGGUGAGAAAGAGGCGCUAACAGAUGCUGCAGGAGCGAACACCGGAAGUGACGCGCCCAUAGAUUCACACUCUGAGGACGACACCUCUCAACAGAUCACAGAACACAGUGAGCAGGUUGAAGAGAGUGUGAAAAGUUCUGAGGAUUUCAGUGAUGAAGAAUACAAUGUAUAUUACGAUUAUUAA